rnacentral:lncRNA from 1 species
UGUUUGGAUGUACGAUGACAGCAGCGACAGCUGGAAUGUUUUUGUCCAACAGAUGGAGUCCGUGAUUUAAACUGCUUUGGUAAACAUGAUUUAAAAGGAUAUAAAACCUGUACAUGGAAACCUGGGAAGGCCAAAGCACAAACAGUGUACACAGUUAUUGUACUCCAGAAUAAAACGUAAGUGUCACUUUCCUCUGUGAGAAGCACAAUCAUAACUAUUGCAACGUUAUUAGUUUGGAUCUUUACAUUUUCUAGAAAAGGAGAUCAUUGCAAAGUUUACAGUGAUAUCCGUGAGUUCUCCAGUGGAAUCGAGCUUUAUGAAAACUACAACGUGACGGUCGUGGCUUUGGAAAACAUGAAGUCCACAAACUGUACACUGGCGGUUUUUAAAGGAUCACCAAAGAGCCUGUUUCGAUGCGGUCCGCCAAAAGAUGUCUCAUUUACUCGCCUCUCUGGAAAACUCCAUGUGAAUGUGGAAUGGCACCAGGAGGACAUGACAGCCAUCGGAGAAUACUCUGUGAGAUACAGAGCAAAGGGCGCCCGCCUAUGGUCGAAGUCGACUGUUAGAUCCGACAACAGCAGCAGCUGCAUGGUGGAGAACCUGAACACCUCGCAGGUCUACGAGGUGCAGAUAGAGUGCCUUACAAACCUACAAUGCUCCCAGUGUCCCUGGAGUGAAGCCUACAUGGUCCCACAUGAACUGACAGAGCAGCCUGUUAUUGUCAACCUUUGGUUUAUCGACAUUGACGAGAAAAAAGGAAAGCGGUGGACAUUUGUGUCCUGGAAGCUCCCUGACACAGAGACGCAUCACAGCUACUGUGUGAGCAUCUGGAAAACAUCUGGGGAGACCCCAAGUGAGCUGAGGAUAAACACUUCUCGUUCUGAGAUCAGCCUCAUUCUCUCCUUUUCAUCGUAUCGCAUCAACAUCAGCGCCUUCAACGAUGUGAGCACAUCCCCCGCCGUGAGCCGGACCAUUCCUCAGCGUGACGGUACAGAAGGUGGUUUGCUGAACGUGACCGUCCAUCAUAAUAAUUCAUUUACCAUCCACUGGAGGGACGAUCUUAUCAAAAGCUACGUCUGCUUUUCUGCUGAGUGGAGGACGAAGACACACAAAGGGUUCCACGAGUCGUUUCAUGAGCAAGAUAAAAACUACAAGACCAUAUCUC